GAACCUGCGGAGGGAUCAUUACAGAGUUCAUACCCUUCGGGGUAGAUCUCCCACCCGUGUCAUCACACCUAUGUUGCUUUGGCGGGCCCGCCUCGGCCACCGGCUCCGGCUGGUGAGCGCCCGCCAGAGGACCCCAAACUCUGAAAWUUAGNGUCGUAUGAGUACUAUAUAAUAGUUAAAACUUUCAACAACGGAUCUGUUGGUUCAGGCAUCGAUGAAGAACGCAGCGAAAUGCGAUAAGUAAUGUGAAUUGCAGAAUUCAGUGAAUCAUCGAAUCUUUGAACGCACAUUGCGCCCCUUGGUAUUCAGGGGGGCAUGCCUGUAAGAGCGUCAUUACAACCAUCAAGCUGUGCUCGGUAUUGGGCGUACCCGGCGACGGGGUGCCCUAAAAUCAGCGGCGGKGCCGUCUGGCUGUAAGGGUAGUAAAUCUCUCGCUAAGGAUGCNCGGUGGAUGCUCGCCAGAACCCCCCAAUUUCACAGGUGACCU
rnacentral:rRNA from 1 species